UACGUAGGGGGCAAGCUUUGUCCGGAUUUAUUGGGCGUAAAGAGCGUGUAGGCGGCUUCACAGGUCCGCUGUGAAAACUCGAGGCUCAACCUCGAGCUGUCGGUGGAAACCGUGUGGCUAGAGUCCGGAAGAGGAGAGUGGAAUUCCCGGUGUAGCGGUGAAAUGCGCAGAUAUCGGGAAGAACACCCAUGGCGAAGGCAGCCCCCUGGGCUGACACUGACGCUCAGGCACGAAAGCGUGGGGAGCAAACAGG
rnacentral:rRNA from 1 species